UCUAUCUCCACUCUUCAUCUCUCCGACACUUCCAAUGCAAUCACCAAAACAAUAAAAAUCAAACAACACGACGGAAUCGAUACAACUAGGUUUUUGAUAUGUUUUUUUUUCUUUUUUUAUUUUCUUGCUGAGAUUGAAUCUAUUGAUGGGUUAUAUGCAAGAACAGUCGGAGAAGAACGUGAAUCUGUUAUGGGUUUUAUGCAAGAAAUCACCUGGAGAAGCAGUGUGGGUGUUUGAUGAUUUGUAACAUUCUUUAUCUAUGAUUUCACAUUCUUUCAAUUGUAACAGAUCUAAAUUUUGGGAUAAAAGGAUUGAAAUUAAGCUUUUAAAUCAGAUUUACCAUAGAAUUUAUACUUCCAUGGUAAAAUUUCAGAAAGAAAUUUUCCAAUCUCUGGUUGAAGAUGAAGAUAUACCAGUCAAGAAUUUCGUUAAUUUGGGUCUGGGUUUUUUUCUACGGGGUAUUGAAUUUUUUAUCAAAUUUUUGGCGGUGAUUUGAGAUGAUUGUUUAAUUUGCUUUCUGUUGAUUGGGGUCUCAGAUGAUUGUUUGGUGGAAUUAAAAGAUGAGGAAGGAGAAACAGAGAACCGAUGAUGCUAUCGAGAAGACAAGGGAAUGAUUGAAUCCAUGGAGUUUUGGGAAGAGAUCUUGAAGCCGAGAAGAACGAUGUAUAAUUGGUUUUGUUGUGGUCAGUGAAGAUUGGGGGAUUUGUGGUUUCUGUCAAGAACCAAAAAUCGGGGAAAGAAAUAAAGUUGAUGCUGCUGUGAGAUUUGGGUUCCGGCGACUGCAACUUCCAUAUAGAUGGCAUUAAAGAAAAACAAGGGUUCCUGAAAUCAGGAUUGGUCAUAAUUGUUGGUGAAGAUUUCGUUUCUAUUGAAAUGGAUUUUAACACAACAAUGGUGUUGUUUCCAUUGAUCACUGGAAGGUGUCGAUGGGGGAACUCAGAGGAGACUGAUGAUGUUGUUUCAUGGUUGGAGUUUGCUGAUGAAGGAAAAGAGCUCGAGUCUAGUAAAACAGGUCCAUUAUGAUCCAGAGGAGCUGGAUCAUUGAUGGAAGACGAUAGAAAUGGCAAGUAUGAUGGUCGUAAUCAGUCAACAUAGGUCCACGUCUGGUCAAGAUACCAAUCCCUAGCGCUGGACAAAUGUCGGACCAAACACAGUGGUCUAAAUCCGAGUGCCCAACACCAAUUAUCCCUUUUUUCUUCUCAACUUGUCGAGGGAGUGCUUGCUUAGACCUCGGCCACUACGUCGUUAAACCCAUAGCUACAGUUGGUAAAAUUUAGGGCUGGCAACGGAUAACCGAUAUCCGAUAUCCAUUUCCGAAAUCCGACAUCCUAUAGGAUUUUAUCCGACAUAUCGGAUAUCGGAUAUCGGAAUCGGAUAUUUUAUCGGAUAUUUUCUCUUAACGAUAACGAUAUUGGAAUAGGCCUUUCCGUUAGGUUAAUAUCCGAUAUCCGAUAGUCUAGGGGUGUACUUGUAAUUUCCUACCCCUAGAUAUAUGUUGCCCGCUGCCGACAGGGAGAACCUAAUCGUAAUCUAAUCUUCUGAGUUCUAGAUAUUUUGGCAGUGGGAAUUUUUGGAGGAGAAAACGAGGACUCGAGGAGGGAUAAGGAGAUUUGAAGAAGUUGAACAGAGGUCGGUGUGGAUCUUGCUGUGCGAAAAUCCUCAAGGUAAACUGAUGUUUUACUUGCUUGCGGGGCUGAAGACUGGUGCUUGUAACUCUGCAGCAGGAUCUGCAAACACGGAGUUUGGAAAUACCAAGAAUGUCUGAAAGUCAUAAAGCAUCCAACAGAGUUGGAACUUCAGGCAGUCCAAGCAUUGCUAUGCUUAAGUGAUUGGCUUCCAGACUUCUUUGAUGCAGAUAUGGAAGUCGUCCACUGAAGUUGAUGCAAAAUGAAACCAGCAAAGAAGAUCUAGCCUGUUUGAGUGUAGUUUUUUGUUUGUAGUUGCAGACUAUGUUGUUGUUUGUUUUUUCAUGUGUGAUGUGACUGAGGUGUUUGUGUGGUUUGUAUUUCUUACACCUGAACA